UACGUAGGGGGCAAGCGUUGUCCGGAAUCAUUGGGCGUAAAGGGGGCGUAGGUGGCGCUGUAAGUCGGGUGUGAAAUUUCGGAGCUUAACUCCGAAACUGCAUUCGAUACUGCGGUGCUUGAGGACUGGAGAGGAGACUGGAAUUUAUGGUGUAGCAGUGAAAUGCGUAGAGAUCAUAAGGAAGACCAGUGGCGAAGGCGGGUCUCUGGACAGUUCCUGACACUGAGGCACGAAGGCCAGGGGAGCAAACGGG
rnacentral:rRNA from 1 species